ACUCGACAACAUUCCAGUGCAGUAAUACUCAGCAGAGAUCUGUAUGCAGGACGGCGCACUGCGGCACUGGUUGCUUAGCUUAGUCAGCGGCUGGAACUGGAGACCGUCGAUGAGUGAAAGUGCAGACCGUGGCGUCCGCGAUCCAAACUCUGGGAGAGUUUACUAGUAGUCUUCAGAGGUGCAUUCCCAGCGUGCUAGGCUGUGAGCUGCAUCAGGGUGGAUGGCGCGCACAUGGACUCACUGCUGCACACUACCCGUGACAGGGACAACGAACACGAUCGACUCUGAUGUAGACUACUAUUCCGACUCCGGUAGGUCCACCGUCUCCAGGCGUACUAAGAUCAUGAAGGCCAGAGAAUCACCAAAACCUUUCAAGCAAACGGUCAACAAAUGAAUGAAGUGCAAUGAUGGGAUGGAAGCAAGGAGGUGAAGACCAGACUUUGCUGGACAGCUAGAAGACGUGUUAUGACCAAUGCCGUAAUACAGCCGAGUAGUACACUGUCAGUGGCCAGGUCUCACACCGAGGAGCAGUACAAGCAAGCAUGGACUGAUUGUCAGUGUUCAAGUACAGGGAAUCACCAUGCAACACAGAACAUGCAGUUUGUCCACCAACAAGUGCAAUGUCAACUGAUAGCCGAGUAGCAAGACGGAUAUGUGGACGUCAGUGCAGAACGCCUUUGUGAUGGGCAAUGUAGCCUUGCAAUUGCAGCUGGUGGUGCUGGUGGUAGGAGGCAGGGUAGUCCCAGCAGAGUAGAUCAUGCGAAGAUCAAGUCUUGCUCACACUCCGGGUGAAUACCUGGCAGUGCAAGAAAGCUCCUUGGCACAUCACACAAUGUGGGUCACAAGAAUGGCGCACAGCAGAAAUAAAUCCAUAUACUGCCGCUUUCUCUUGCUGGUUGUGCUGCUGCAAGUAUCAACCUGUUGUGAACUGUUUUUUCCUCUCGCCCUCUCCUCAUCAAAUAUAUUUUUAUUGUGAACUAGCCUCUAGUUUGACAGGUUAGCAUCACUCUGCUAUUGUGGCUCCUUGUUCACAACCAGAGUCAGCCACUCCCGUCUGUCUGUCUUUUUCUCACACUGUGGUUGUCUGUUUGUCUCUGCCUGUCUCCCCCCCCCCUCUCUCUCUCUCUCUCUCUCUCCCUCCCUCCCUCCCUCCUUCUAUAUCUCUGUUCAAUUUGUCUGGUGGUUGGCGGAGUUGGCAGAAACGCUUAUCGAUGUGGUGGAUGGGGGGAGUGUGAGCGCAAAGCCAAGUUGCAUGCUUUACCCACAUUUUUCUGAGGCAUUAAUCUGUUCAAGGUC